CUGGUUACAUAUUUAACAUGCUGAGAGAAAUUUGGUAAAACUGAUUUAGUUUCCCUGCAUCAAAGUCCUCAGCCACUAGGAGUGCUGCCUCUGGAUGAGCGUUUUCCUGUUUGCUUAUGGCGGUAUACAGCUCAUUGAGUGCGGUUUUAGUGCCGUCAUCGGUCUGGGGUGGUUUGUAGACAGCUACAAAAAUACAGAUGACAACUCUCUAGGGUGAUAGUGUGGUCUACAGCUUAUCAUGAGAUAAUCUACCUCAUGCGAGCAAAACUUCAAGACUUCCUUAGAUAUCGUGCACCAGCUGUUGUUUACAAAUAUGCAUAGGCCCCCGCCUUGUGUCUUACCAGAGGCUGCUGUUCUAUCCUGCCGAUGGAGUGUAUAACCCGCCAGCUGUAUGUUAUUAAUGUCGUCGUUAAGCUACGAUUUGGUGAAACAUAAGAUAGUACAGUUUUUAAUGUCCCGUUGGUAGGAUAUGUGCUUUCAGUUUAUUGCAUUUAUUUUCCAGUGAUUGAACGUUAGCUAACAGUACUGAUGGCAAAAGGCAGAUUAGCCACUCUUUGUCUGAUCCUCACAAGGCACACCGAUCUCUUUCUGCAAAAAUCUCAGUUUCUUUCUCCAGCGUAUGAUGAGGAUGAGGGCCUGUUCGGGUGUUUGGAGUAUAUCCUUCCCAUCCGACUCAUGAAAUAAAAAUUAUUUAUCCAAUUCGAGAUGUCAGUGGAACUCGAUGUGUUUGUGGGUAACACCACCAUUAUGGAUGAGGAAGUCUAUCAGUUCUGGCUGGAUGGUUACACAGUGAAUGAUGCAGUGAAGGUACGUAUGGAGGGAGGGGUAUUGGAGGAGUGUGAGGCCAGUGCUGAGGUUUUGCGCAGUGACACCAUGGACCAGUACAGAACCUUCCAGAUGUGUGAGCGCCUCCUGCACAGCCCCGCCAAACUGGCCAAUCAGCUGCUGUUCCAGAUCCCACCUCAUCGCCAAACCAUGCUCAUAGAGAGGUACUAUACGUUCGAUGGCGUGUUUGUACGAGAGGUCCUUGGGAAGAAACUCUCAAAGGGGACCAAGAAGGACCUGGAUGAUGUCAGUGCAAAGACUGGUGUCACACUGAAGAGCUGCAGGCGGCAGUUUGAUAACUUCAAGCGUGUAUUCAAAGUUGUGGAGGAACUGAAGGGACCCCUGGUGGAAAACAUUCGUCAGCACUUCCUUCUCUCUGACAAGCUGGCCAGGGAUUACGCUGCCAUUGUUUUCUUUGCCAACAAUCGCUUUGAGACGGGGAAGAAGAAGCUGCAUUAUCUUACAUUCCAGGACUUUGCCUUCUGUGCAGGGCAGCUCAUCAGCAACUGGACCGUGGGAGCAUUGGAUAACAUGGUGGAAGACAUGGAUGUGGAUCUUGAGAAGGAGUUCUUACAAGAUCUAAAGGAACUGAAGAUUUUAAUUACUGACAAGGAUCUGCUGGACCAGCACAAGAGUUUGGUGUGCACGGCUCUCCGGGGGAAGACCAAAGCAUUUAAUGAGAUGGAAGCCAACUUCAAGAAUCUCUCCAGAGGCCUUGUCAACAUUGCUGCCAAAUUAACCAACACGAAAGAUGUCAGAGACUUCUUUAUUGAUCUGGUGGAAAAGUUUAUUGAGCCGUGUCGGUCAGACAAAUGGACAGCAGGAGACAUGAGGCUCUUCCUCACUCACUACACUAACUCUGCACACAUUCUUGACACAUUCAAGGCCAUAGAGGCAGGAGCAGGACAGAUAGAGGGACCACUUCUGCUCUCCACACUCACACCACAUCAGGGACCACCACCGCCAGGGGACUAGAACAGCACUACACGGACUCAAACCAGGGACCUGAAGAUCACAGGAAGAAGACGAAUUCACACAAAGGAAGAAGACUUGCCUAUACCGCUGCGCUGCUCUGAGCACCACGACAAGCCGGCAGCUUCUCUCGUCCUGACCGGAGGCACCGCUACCUGUGUGACCCGCCGGCUGUGCCAGGGUGUGUGUUUACGUGUGUGAUCCGGUCCUAUCUGCCAGUCAGU